rnacentral:tRNA from 1 species
GCCGGGGUGGUGAAAUUGGUAGACACAGGGGAUUCAAAAUCCCCCGGGGGCAACCCCUUGUCGGUUCGAGUCCGACCCUCGGUA